CUGAGAGGCUGAGCAGUGCACCCCCAGGCUGGCCUGCUGCCCAGCACCCCCUGUGCCCAGCUGUGGAGUGACGAGGCCGAAGCCUAACUAGUCCACUUCCAAGGUCCUCCAGAAGGCUCUCCCAGGCCGCGGUGGGGUCACCAUUUCUGUAACUGCUUAGGCUCCAGUCUCUGAGCACAGGAACUCCACCAUGUCCACUACAGAAGCCCCAGCGCUGACAUCAGGGCUUGGCAUGACUGAGUCAGUGCUGACAGAGGGGCCACAUCAGGCCUUGACUUUACAACACUGCCAGUCCCAGACGAGCAGGCAUUUGUUGACGUGAGACAGCAGUGGGAUUUCAGAACCAGAAGACCCCGUGGCCUUCCCGCGGCCCACUGCUGCUUUAGUCUUUCUCCUCCUCAGCCCCCCAAGAUGAUGCUGCCCACGAGCAGCCAUGGCUGUCUGUGCCCAGCGUCCCGCUGCUCCACGGGAGGAUACGGCUGUCCCUGGCCAUGUCUUGCAUUAUUGAUAUUUCAGCACACUGAGGAGUGAUUAAAGGACGGUACUUGUGCUCAGGAAAUUCUAUGGAUGAAAUGGAACUUGAUUUAGCAUCUGGCUGAGCAACUCAAAGGUCGGCUUUUCAAGGAGGUCAGUUGCCCGUGACCUGCCCUAUACAUAUCGCUGAGCUAUUGAGGUAUAAAUAUAUCGUUUUAAAGAGGAUUAAGAACCCAGAGAGAGAAAUAAUAGCUUGGAGGGAAUAACAAUAGUAAGGAUUUAACGAAGGCCGGGUUAGGAACUGAGAAGGGAUUUGCAGGGAGCUCUGGGGCUGCAGGCGGUCACCCCCGGGCCUGGCUGCCGGGGCAGCAUCUGCAAGUCCUGCUGCUCGCCACCCCCAUGCCAGGCUCCGGGGACCCAGGAGGUUCUGCCUUGCUGAAGCCCACACUGCCGAGCCGCCCCUUAAUCACUCAGGACUGCUGUCGUGGGGCCACUAGGGCACACACUGUGUUCUGCUUCCUGCAGUCCAUCUCUCGUUCUCUGACAGUCCUCUGAUCUUUUUACUUCUAAGUGUUAAAGGAAAUGGAAUAAUUUGUUGAAGAAAAAGAGAAAAUAAAUCUGGCAUUUGGGUUGGGGUAUUGUUUUUAA